rnacentral:rRNA from 1 species
AGGACGAACGCUGGCGGCGUGCUUAACACAUGCAAGUCGAGCGGAAAGGCCCUUCGGGGUACUCGAGCGGCGAACGGGUGAGUAACACGUGAGCAACCUGCCCCUGGCUCUGGGAUAGCCUUCGGAAACGGGGAUUAAUACCGGAUAUUCACUGCUUCCUGCAUGGGGGGUGGUGGAAAGUUUUUCGGCUGGGGUGGGGCUCGCGGCCUAUCAGCUUGGUUGGGGGGGUGACGGCCCACCAAGGCGACGACGGGUAGCCGGCCUGAGAGGGCGACCGGCCACACUGGGACUGAGACACGGCCCAGACUCCUACGGGAGGCAGCAGUGGGGAAUAUUGCGCAAUGGGCGGAAGCCUGACGCAGCGACGCCGCGUGCGGGAUGAAGGCCUUCGGGUUGUAAACCCCUUUCAGCAGGGACGAAGCGAAAGUGACGGUACCUGCAGAAGAAGCGCCGGCUAACUACGUGCCAGCAGCCGC